CUUUAUUUGUAUAGUAUUCUCCAGAGAAACAACCGUUUCUUUCAGAUCCGACACCUAUUAAUUAAAGUCUUGUUAGUUAAUUAUCAAUGUAUAGGAUCAUUUUUGGUAACCGUACCUGUUGACGUUCUGUCUAGUUGUAGAUGGUUUCAAGAUUCUUCUUACAGAAUAAAUUAAUGUAUCAUCCACACGCUGGAAAUCAUCGAAUUAUUUUUCUUUUUCUUUAAGUUACUUUACCGAGAACUGUACAAACGAGCAAAUUCUUUUGAACACAUAAUGACCAAAAAUAAUUUUCAUGAAAUUAUUAACCAUGUUUAAAUUGUAUCGACAAUUGAAGAACGUUUUGAAUGUCACAAAAUUGCUUAACCUACUUUGACAAUAAAGUUGACCAGAAAUAUGGAUAAGGUGCUGAAUAAAAAUUACAUCAUACGAUACUGAUUAAAAGUUGUGAAAUUUUUUAUUGUAUCGUAUAUGUACAAAAUAGGUGUACAGACUACUUAUCAAUCGCAUGGGCGCGUUUUGUACACGCUUUGUAUAUGCAUUGACCGCAUAUAACACUGAUGUAAGAGCAUCACGUUGUGUAGUACACCUGUAACCCCCCCCUCUUCCUAUUAUCUUUCAUCAAAUGGAAUGAAUGUCGUGAUGACGCUUAAAUGUUUCUUUUAAUUCAGAUCUCAUUAUCAUUUUUUUCCUCUUUACAAUCAUUAAUAACAUUCUAGUAAUAAGGGUUUCUUGUGACUAUUACCCCUUUCCCCAUCUUGUACACACGAAAAUAAUAAAUUACACUGGAACGUUAUCUUUGCAUUUUGUUUAAAGAGCGUAGUAGUUCGUUUUUCUGAAUCGCGUUUACAUGACUACGGUAGAAUAGUGUAGCUUCAAUUCACUGGAAGUGUCGAUGUGUGAACACGGCAUCGGAGAAGACAAAAAAGGAAAUGAUACAAAUACACCUCACUGUAGGUCCGUCCGUGCUUUCCACUUAUUUUAUUAACAACAACUGGGCCAAAUGUUUAUGUUCACUUUCACACGUAGAAAACGGUAUUCUUGCACUGCCUCGCAAACUCCUUACUAAUUUUGAUCACAUUUUUUAUUUUUUUUUU